rnacentral:rRNA from 1 species
UACGUAGGGGGCAAGCGUUGUCCGGAAUCAUUGGGCGUAAAGAGCGCGUAGGCGGUCCGGUAAGUCAGCUGUGAAAGUCAAGGGCUCAACCCUUGAAAGCCGGUUGAUACUGUCGGGCUAGAGUCCGGAAGAGGCGAGUGGAAUUCCCGGUGUAGCGGUGAAAUGCGUAGAUAUCGUAAGGAAGACCAGUGGCGAAGGCGGGUCUCUGGACAGUUCCUGACGCUGAGGCACGAAGGCCAGGGGAGCAAACGGG